UCGAUUAUAUUCAUAUAGUGGCAGAAAUAAUAUUCAAAUUGAAUAAUACGUUUCUUAAGAAAUCUUUCAAAGCUUUAAAAUUAUGAAGUCGUUAUAUUCUUCUCUUACUCUUAACGUAAUUAAUUCUCUAUUUAAUAAAGUCCGAGAUACACGCUUAACGAGGUCGGAGAGAUAUAACGCACCGGUAGAAACAUCCUUUGAAUGAUUUUAUUGAUAAGAAAUUAAGAAGAGAAUCUUUUUAUAAUGCAGAGGGUUUUACUCAUCAUGUAGCAAUCAAAAAUUAUACAUUAUGUCACGUAAAACCCGUAUAUGAUAUAUAACAUUUGUGAAAGUUCUUUUAUCAUAGCGUAAGAUCAGAGAGAACAAGAAUGAAUACAAAAGAUUGUUAUAUUUAUUCAAUAGGAACUAAUAGAAGACUGAAAUGACAAAGUUAUUUACAUGUUUGUUAUUUAUUAUCAUUCAUAAUUGAUUUGGAGUUUAAAAUUUUAAGGUAAAUUAAUAAAUCUGUAAUACUUAAAUAAUUAAGAUCUUUAAACAAUUAAGGAGACACGAAUAUUAUACAUUAUUAUUAUUUUAAUUGAUAAUUAUUAAUAAAUUAUGAUAGAUUAAUUAAAAUAAUUGAUAUUA